rnacentral:lncRNA from 1 species
UGCCUCCGCCUCCCUCGCUGCUGCCUCCGCUCUAAGUUGAGAAAUUUGCUCAUCUGUGCUAGCUUGUAUCUGAACUAUCUGAUCUUUUAACCUCUGAACUUCAGCUUGACUUUGACUCCAGAAAGGCAUGUAUUGGUGCGAGGUGGAUCCAAAAUAUUGGGUCGGGUUAACACCAGAUCCUUGAAAUCUAACCCGACCAUACCUUUCAGGACCCAAAAC